UCCCCAGUGGCACCAGUGGUUAGCGCGCGGUACUUAUAAUGCCGAGGUUGUGGUCGAAUCUCACCUGGGGAA